rnacentral:rRNA from 1 species
GACGAACGCUGGCGGCGUGCUUAACACAUGCAAGUCGAGCGGUAAGGCCCUUUCGGGGGUACACGAGCGGCGAACGGGUGAGUAACACGUGGGUGACCUGCCCUCCAGCUCUGGGAGUAAGACCCGGGAAACCGUAGGGUCGUAAUACUGGAUAUGACUCCAUGACGCAUGUUGUGGGGUGGAAAGCCUUGUGCGGCUGAGGA